GGGGGUGAUCGGUUUCGACAUUGGCCGGUGGGCCAUGGGGAAGCGGGUCGAGGACGCACGGUUAUCUCGUAAACGAUCCGUGCAAACCAAUAGGUGCCAAUUCCAAGCGCACCGACUUCGCCCUCGCCGCCUGAGCGAGCCCGAAGUCCGUUGGCCUGAGUUCGAUCCUGACUCAGUAACCAGCGUCAUCUAGGGAUCUUGCUGCGUCGUCUCGUCGGGGGGCGGCGCGGGACUCUCACCCGGCUGGGCCUGUCAGCGGACGUGUGCGUGCGAGCGCUGGGGCCGAGAAAAUCCGUAGCGCACUGCACCCGGAGAAGCCCUGGUGUUCCGUCAGUGGACGCGGGUUCGAUUCCCGCCACCUCCACCA
rnacentral:tmRNA from 1 species